rnacentral:misc_RNA from 1 species
GAUGAAGAACGCAGCGAAAUGCGAUAAGUAAUGUGAAUUGCAGAAUUCAGUGAAUCAUCGAAUCUUUGAACGCACCUUGCGCCCUUUGGCCAUUCCGAAGGGCAUGCCUGUUUGAGUAUCAUGAACACCUCAACUCUUUAUGGUUUUCCAUGAUGAGCUUGGACUUUGGGGGUUUUGCUGGCCUAUGGUCGGCUCCUCUAAAAUAAAUCAGCUUACCAGUGUUUGGUGGGUAUCAUGGGUGUGAUAACUAUCUACGCUUGUGGUUUUCCGCCAGGUAACCUUCGACAGCGGAGGUUCACUGGAGCUCAUAGAUGUCUCUCCUCAGCGAGGACAGCCCUUUGAAUGUUUGAUCUCAAAUCAGGUAGGACUACCCGCUGAACUUAAGCAUAUCAAUAAGCGGAGGA